AACAUGACUUUGAUCUGCGUCCUCCUCUGGACUCUCCUCUGCUGCUGCUUCACAGAGUCCAGAGGACAAUACACAGUGACUCAGCCUGGAGCAGUGAGCUCUGCUGUGGGAGGAUCUGUGAGCAUCAACUGUAGGACCAGUCAGAAUGUUUAUAGUAAUUGGUUAUCCUGGUACCAACAGAAAGAUGGAGGAGUUCCUAAACUGCUCAUUUACUAUGCUAGCAGCCGAGUAUCAGGGAUUCCAGCUCGUUUUACAGGCAGUGGCUCAAACUCUGACUUCACUCUGACCAUCAGUGGAGUCCAGGCUGAAGAUGCAGCAGUUUAUUACUGUCAGAGUGGUCACUACCCUAACAAUCAGUAUGUGUUCACACAGUGAAAAACAGUCGUACAAAAACCUCCCUCAGUCAGACUGAACAGAAAU